rnacentral:rRNA from 1 species
AUGACUAAUGCUUCCUCUGGCAAUAGCAAUAGACACUCCUUCAAGAACCCCUCAGGACUAUCAUUUGAGUUGCAUGAGGAUGCAAUCACAGGUGAACAGAACAAAGAGGGCCUUCCCGAUCAGAAGACCCUUCAGAAAGCAGCAGUUGGACGACUUUUUUAUCUUAACAAGCCAGAGGUACCGUUUCUUCUGCUCGGCACUGUAGCAGCAUCGGUGCAUGGAAUCAUUUUUCCAUUGUAUGGCCUACUAAUAUCUGGCGUUCUAAAAUCAUUCUACGAGCCACCAGAUAAGAUGCGGAAAGAUUCUAGCUUUUGGGCAUUGAUAUUUGUAGUUCUGGGGUUUGCAUCUUUCAUUGCAAUCAUAGCAGAAUAUCUUUUGUUUGCAAUUGCUGGUGGCAAGCUUAUAGAGCGUGUUCGUACUCUGUCAUUUCAAAAUAUUGUGCAUCAGGAAGUUGCUUGGUUUGAUAAUCCCUCAAAUUCCAGGUACCAUAUUCAAAUGAUCUCAGUUACUUUAUCUUCUUGUGCAUAA